GCCAGUUUUGUGUUUGUGGAUAUGUGAACGAUUCGAAGUCUUUUUGGGGAUAAUAUAGGCUCUUCGUUCCAUCCUGCUAAUCAAUGCGGCCACGGCGUUCAGAUCAGUUACGAGAUGUAAUGUCUUGGAAAGAUGGAUGAU
rnacentral:ribozyme from 1 species